GUUGCGUUGCCCGUUGUGAUCUGGGAGCCCGGGCGGAGUAGCGGAGUCUGUGCUGGUGAGACCCAUUAACCCUCUCGUGCCUGGCCCGGGCCCUGCUCCCGCUGGAGCCGCCACGGGCUCUGCCCGCCCCGCUGCGGAGCUGCAGCCUCCAGGUUUGUGACUGAGAUCAGGGCUCUUAUCAUACUGAGCAUGACCCUGUUCUGCCAGGUGCUGCAGAGACCCCAGCUGAGAUCUGGGCCCUGUUCUGCCAGGCACUGAAGAGACCCCACGUGAGAUCAGACCCCACUGUUGUGCCAGGUUACAGAAUAACAUCCACAUUUCGCUCCAGGUCAUCCCAUCCUCCCAGGGGGAAGGAACUGGCUGCAAUGGAGCUGGCUCAGUUUCCAGUUUCCAAACUGAAUGUAACCUCAUGG